AGAGGAGCGCAAAGGAAGAGAAGGCGGCUGUAACAGCGUCUCCCUCACCACGCCCGGCGGCCAUAUUCCUCCUUCUCCGCAAACUGACAGCCCUCCUGUCCCCCUGAAAGGUUAUUUCAGGAAAAUACUGCGCACCAGGGUAGAGGAAGAAGAAUACAUGGCAUGGAUCCUCUUACUGCUUCAGAGUCUACAAGUGCCACUUGACAACUUAUAUGUUAAAUUCCAAAUGAAGUUUACAAAACACAGUACAGAUUCAUGGAACAUUUCCUGAUUGGUGACAAGGGAACUGUGCCCUGAUGGUGAAGCAGGCAGAAGAGGUGGCCAGGAUGUGGCAUGGAGAGGAAGUCCGGGCCAAAAGAGCAACAGUAGCAAAAUCUGAUAAAAACAAGGCUGCAGGGACUGCCUUGCAUCACUGAGCAAGCUGGACAGUGCUGGCUGGAUCUUUACACUG